rnacentral:rRNA from 1 species
UGCGUAGGCGGAAGAUUAAGUCAGUAGUGAAAUCCUGCAGCUCAACUGUAGAACUGUUAUUGAUACUGAUCUUCUUGAAUACAGUUGAGGUAGGCGGAAUAUGUAAUGUAGCGGUGAAAUGCUUAGAUAUUACAUAGAACACCGAUUGCGAAGGCAGCUUACUAAACUGUGAUUGCCGCUGAGGCACGAAAGCGUGGGGAGCGAACAGGAUUAGAUACCCUGGUAGUCC